GAUGAAGAACGCAGCGAAAUGCGAUAAGUAAUGUGAAUUGCAGAAUUCAGUGAAUCAUCGAAUCUUUAAACGCACAUUGCGCCCCUUGGUAUUCCGAGGGGCAUGCCUGUUCGAGCGUCAUUAUAACCCUCAAGCUCAGCUUGGUGUUGGGGCCUGCUGCACUGGCAGCCCUUAAAAUCAGUGGCGGCGCCAUCUGGCUCUAAGCGUAGUAAUUCUUCUCGCUAUGGAGUCCUGGUGGAUGCUUGCCAUCAACCCCCAAUUUUUCUAUGGUUGACCUCGGAUCAGGUAGGGAUACCCGCUGAACUUAAGCAUAUCAAUAAGCGGAGGA
rnacentral:misc_RNA from 1 species